UGCAAGUCGUACGCACUGGCCCAACUGAUUGAUGGUGCUUGCACCUGAUUGACGAUGGAUCACCAGUGAGUGGCGGACGGGUGAGUAACACGUAGGUAACCUGCCCCGGAGCGGGGGAUAACAUUUGGAAACAGAUGCUAAUACCGCAUAACAACAAAAGCCACAUGGCUUUUGUUUGAAAGAUGGCUUUGGCUAUCACUCUGGGAUGGACCUGCGGUGCAUUAGCUAGUUGGUAAGGUAACGGCUUACCAAGGCGAUGAUGCAUAGCCGAGUUGAGAGACUGAUCGGCCACAAUGGAACUGAGACACGGUCCAUACUCCUACGGGAGGCAGCAGUAGGGAAUCUUCCACAAUGGGCGCAAGCCUGAUGGAGCAACACCGCGUGAGUGAAGAAGGGUUUCGGCUCGUAAAGCUCUGUUGUUGGAGAAGAACGUGCGUGAGAGUAACUGUUCACGCAGUGACGGUAUCCAACCAGAAAGUCACGGCUAACUACGUGCCAGCAGCCGCGGUAAUACGUAGGUGGCAAGCGUUAUCCGGAUUUAUUGGGCGUAAAGCGAGCGCAGGCGGUUGCUUAGGUCUGAUGUGAAAGCCUUCGGCUUAACCGAAGAAGUGCAUCGGAAACCGGGCGACUUGAGUGCAGAAGAGGACAGUGGAACUCCAUGUGUAGCGGUGGAAUGCGUAGAUAUAUGGAAGAACACCAGUGGCGAAGGCGGCUGUCUGGUCUGCAACUGACGCUGAGGCUCGAAAGCAUGGGUAGCGAACAGGAUUAGAUACCCUGGUAGUCCAUGCCGUAAACGAUGAGUGCUAGGUGUUGGAGGGUUUCCGCCCUUCAGUGCCGGAGCUAACGCAUUAAGCACUCCGCCUGGGGAGUACGACCGCAAGGUUGAAACUCAAAGGAAUUGACGGGGGCCCGCACAAGCGGUGGAGCAUGUGGUUUAAUUCGAAGCUACGCGAAGAACCUUACCAGGUCUUGACAUCUUGCGCUAACCUUAGAGAUAAGGCGUUCCCUUCGGGGACGCAAUGACAGGUGGUGCAUGGUCGUCGUCAGCUCGUGUCGUGAGAUGUUGGGUUAAGUCCCGCAACGAGCGCAACCCUUGUUACUAGUUGCCAGCAUUAAGUUGGGCACUCUAGUGAGACUGCCGGUGACAAACCGGAGGAAGGUGGGGACGACGUCAGAUCAUCAUGCCCCUUAUGACCUGGGCUACACACGUGCUACAAUGGACGGUACAACGAGUCGCAAGCUCGCGAGAGUAAGCUAAUCUCUUAAAGCCGUUCUCAGUUCGGACUGUAGGCUGCAACUCGCCUACACGAAGUCGGAAUCGCUAGUAAUCGCGGAUCAGCAUGCCGCGGUGAAUACGUUCCCGGGCCUUGUACACACCGCCCGUCACACCAUGGGAGUUUGUAACGCCCAAAGUCGGUGGCCUAACCUUUAUGGAGGGAGCCGCCUAAGG
rnacentral:rRNA from 2 species